rnacentral:rRNA from 1 species
AUCCACCUGGGGAGUACGUCAGCAAUGAUGAAACUCAAAGGAAUUGACGGGGGCCCGCACAAGCGGAGGAACAUGUGGUUUAAUUCGAUGAUACGCGAGGAACCUUACCUGGGCUUAAAUGUUAAGUGCUAUACCGGGAGACCGGUUUUUCCUUCGGGACACUUUACGAGGUGCUGCAUGGUUGUCGUCAGCUCGUGCCGUGAGGUGUCGGGUUAAGUCCCAUAACGAGCGCAACCCCUAUUGCCAGUUGCCAGCACAUCAUGGUGGGACUCUGGUAAACUGCCGGUGCAAACCGCGAGGAAGGUGGGGAUGACGUCAAAUCAGCACGGCCCUUAUGUCCAGGGGCUACACACGUGUUACAAUGGUCGGUACAACAGGAAGCUAUUCCGCGAGGAACCGCUAAUCCCGAAAGCCGAUCUUAGUUCGGAUCGGAGUCUGCAAUUCGACUCCGUGAAGCUGGAUUCGCUAGUAAUCGCAGAUCAGCCAUGCUGCGGUGAAUAUGUUCCCGGGCAUUGACACACCGCCCGUCAAGCCAUGGAGCACGGGGUGCCUGAAGUCCGUACCGAUAAGGAGCGCACCAGGUAAA